GUGAAUCAUCGAAUUUUUGAACGCAAAUUGCACUCUCUUCGGAGAGUAUGCCUGUUUGAGGGUCAGCCUAAAAAAAUUCAACAAAUUUUCGGUUCCGGGGAAACAUUCUUCGGAAAUUGGGUCAUCUUAAACCUUGGGUUUUAGCCGGCUUAAAAUUUUCUUUACAUUUCCAGGAACGUUUCUAGGAUUUUAUCUUCUUUUACGUUAAGGGUAUCUA
rnacentral:misc_RNA from 1 species